UUACGUCACCAGAUGCUUCUGCUGGAACAGCUGAUUGAUAGUGGAUUCCCAUUGAUGCAUGGGCUGAUGGCUGAUUCAAAUAUACGAGUUAGUAGCUGGUAACGACCAUUCAUCAGUGGGACAUUUAAUGAAAUAGUAGAGUGAUUCGCGAAUUAAAUUUUUCACACCAAAAUAUUAUCUAUCCAAUAACAAUAUGCAGGGAAUCAAGUUUUUCAAGAAAUUUCUGAUGCCCUGCGGCCUCUGUGCCGCAGUGCCAGCUCUAAAACCGGUCCCUCCGCCUUCGAACUGUCCAACACCUUGCGAAGUUGACGAUAAGAAGCUAAUCCGGCCAUCCGAAUUGCCGAUUUAUACGGUCGCUUCUCAAAAGGCAGAUCCAUGCCCUACUCCAGUGAACCACGAGCCCUCGUACUUGGAGCAGGGCUUUGGAACGGUCAGAAGAUCCUUAUCUAGCAUUUUCGAGCAGUAUCAAUUUGUAAGCGACACUGUGAAUAACACGUUAGAAACUGGAGUGGCUCACAGUCAAACACUCUAUGAUUAUCUGAGAGAGGAAAGCAAUGCUGCACCUCGUAUGGGAGCUAUAGGAAUCGGUGCCCUUACGGGACUCAUUUUUGGUCUUCGAGGCGGAGCUUUUAAGAAGACUUUUUACACAAGCACCGGAGCACUUGCAGUGGCAGCUUUUUGCUAUCCAAAACAGGCAAGCGAGGGAGUUGAACUUGUAAAACACUACGCAAACAUUGGAUACAACUUUGCCUACGGAAUAGAGCCUGAAGACCCGUUGGAAAAAAAUUUACAAACUGGCGGCCCAAAUUCACAGGAUAAUAAUUCUCAGAAAUAAAGAAAAGUGGGAACACGAGCAAGAGUAUUAGAACCCCCUUUCGGAAAUAUCUAUUAAAGCCAGGGGACCCGCAACAGCUAGAGAUAAAUUUUCCCGAAUUCUCAAAGCUUAAAAUACCAACAUCCUUCGACGAUUUCAUCGAUCAAGUUAAAGAAACAGGAAGCGCUGCCGGCGAGACAAUCGGCGCCUUGACAUCUAAAGCUUCGGAGUUAUUAUCCGAAUCAAAACAGG